GGCGGGGAGUGCCAGUCGCUUUCCCGCCUCCGUCCAGAUCCGGGCGGAAGUGAUUCCCUGGCGCGGCGCCCUUCUUCCUCUUCCUCUCCGGUUUCGGGGGCUUUUGGUGCAAGAGCGAGCUGCGGGCAGGGAGGAACUCGCGAGAGCGCCAUGGCGAGCCGAGAAGGUGGGAAGAAGAAGCCCUUGAAGCAGCCCAAGAAGCAAUUGAAAGAACUGGAUGAGGAAGACAAAGCUUUCAAGCAAAAACAGAAGGAGGAGCAGAAGAAGUUGGAGGAAUUGAAAGCGAAAGCUGCUGGCAAGGGUCCACUUACUGGAGGUGGAAUUAAGAAGUCUGGUAAGAAGUAGCAGCUUUGAUAAGACUACGUGGCAAGUAAAUAAAUGACUCCCCUUGGAUGCUUUGCAAUGAAAUGGUUUUCCAGGAUGAAGUUGUAAGAAGCAUUCAUUUGUGCAUCUUUGUAUAUUUUGUUGAAACAAAAUAAAUGGGGUUGGGGAUUUUUGGUUAA